AGUGGUAGUUCAGUGGUUAGUAUGUUAGACUUGUGAUUGGAAGGUCAUGAGUUCAAAUACCGGCAACACCA